rnacentral:rRNA from 1 species
AUUGAACGCUGGCGGCAGGCCUAACACAUGCAAGUCGAGCGGAGCGGCGGAAGGGUGAGUAAUGCCUAGGAAUCUGCCUGGUAGUGGGGGCUAAAUUCCGGAAACGGGCGCUAAUACCGCAUACUAUCAGAUAAGCCUAGGUCGGAUUAGCUAGUUGGUGGGGUAAAGGCCUACCACGGCGACGAUCCGUAACUGGUCUGAUAGGAUGAUCAGUCACCAUGGAACUGCGACACGGUCCAGACUCCUACGGGAGGCAGCAGUGGGGAAUAUUGGACAAUGGGCGAAAGCCUGAUCCAGCCAUGCCGCGUGUGUGAAGAAGGUCUUCGGAUUGUAAAGCACGUUAAGUUGGUAGGCGUUACCAACAGAAUAAGCACCGGCUAACUUCGUGCCAGCAGCCGCGGUAAUAC